CUAGUGUAAAAUUUAAUGUACUCCCACAUCGCCCGGGAACUACGAGCUAAGCUUAAAACCCAAAGGACUUGACGUACCCCAUAUCCCCCUAGAGGAGCCUGUCCUAUAAUCGAUAACCCCCGUUUAACCUCACCAUUUUUUGCCAGUCAGCCUGUAUACCUCCGUCGUCGACUUACCACGUGAGCGUCAGUGAGCCUAAUGUUUCUCCAACUACACGUCAGGUCAAGGUGCAACAUAUAAAAUGGGAAGAGAUGGGCUACACUUUCUACCAUAGAAUAAACGAAAGACUAAAUGAAACCUAGUCAGAAGGCGGAUUUAGCAGUAAAAUGAAACUAGAGCGUUCACUUAAAUGCGGCAC
rnacentral:rRNA from 1 species